rnacentral:sRNA from 1 species
AGAACCCCGCGGGGUCUGAGCAGCCCAGCGUGCCCAGUCCAGCGCCCGCGUCCCCGCAGCAUGUCGCGCCCCCGCCUGCUGGCCGCGCUGUGCGGCGCGCUGCUCUGCGCCCCCAGCCUCCUCGUCGCCCUGGAGUGCGUCGAGCCACUGGGCAUGGAGAAUGGGAACAUUGCCAACUCACAGAUCUCCGCCUCAUCUGUGCGUGUGACCUUCUUGGGUUUGCAGCAUUGGGUCCCGGAGCUGGCCCGCCUGAACCGCGCAGGCAUGGUCAAUGCCUGGACACCCAGCAGCAAUGAUGAUAACCCCUGGAUCCAGGUGAACCUGCUGCGGAGGAUGUGGAUAACAGGUGUGGUGUUUGCUGUCUGCCCACCCUUGACCCAGGGCAUUCUGGUUGAUAGAGAAAAAGACAUCAGUUUUCAAAGUAUUUUCCCUUCUUCUGGUUGGCUCCCCUCCUGUAGCUUCUAGAACAUGUAGCGUUAGGUGUGUUUGGCAGAUGUCAGCUUUACAAGGGCAGAGAAUUUGUCUGUUUUG